UACGUAGGGUGCAAGCGUUGCCCGGAUUUAUUGGGCGUAAAGGGCGCGUAGGCGGCUCUGCACGUCCGUUGUGAAAUCGCCCGGCUCAACUGGGCGGGGUCAGCGGAUACGGCAGAGCUUGAGCAAGCUAGGGGGCAAUGGAAUUCCUGGUGGUAGCGGUGGAAUGCGCAGAGUAUCAGGAGGAACACCGAUGGCGAAGGCAGGAUCUCUGGGCCGUAACUGACGCUGAGGAGCGAAAGCGUGGGGAGCGAACAGG
rnacentral:rRNA from 1 species